GGUCUUCUAGAUGGAUCUGCCAUUUCUUGAUCCAUUCUCUUCCACACUCUCGUACAGCUAGCAUCCUCUCACAUCUACCUAACCUUAUCUCUCUAUCUGUUCAGACAAAAAACCCCAUCUCCGACAGUAGAACUCGUCAUCUGCCAUUACAGUGUUGAUAUCUUCUUUAAUUCGUAGAAGAUCUCAACCCCUAAACCGAUUGCAGUAAGAUCCGAUUAGGGUUCAUUUGUGAAAACCACACUGAGAUCGGUUUAGUUGUUGUUCGAGGAUCUCAACUAUUAAUCUCCGAUCUUGGUUUUUAGAAUCGGAUCGGCAUUUUUAAGGUUCUAACGUCAAGCUUCGUAUCUCAAUCUUCAAUUACUAUCCUAUUCGACUACAUCAGAUGUAAGAUCAAGCAGAUCAGAAAAUGGGUCCGUACGGUGUUCAUGACUUAGAUGCAGAUUAAAGGACUGAAAUGCAAGAUAAGUUUAACAGUACAAAUUUGUUUGUCUAAAUUCUUAUCUUAGAAUAUUUAACAUAUUCUAGAUCUUUAAUUUGUUUUUGUAUUAUUGUCUAUAUACCUAACAUCAGACAUUAUUGGCUUCUGAGUAUUCCUAGGAUAUUAUACACUAACCAAAUGAUACCUAAUUUAAUUGCAGAGGUGUAGUUGUUAGAUCUAUAUCUACACAUUCAAAGGUGGGAAGGUAAGGAGGCAUCAACAGAGUUCAAUAGGUGUAAAUUUGUGCAAUGAACAAAAAAUUCUUAGGUUAUCCUCAUAAAUUCAUCAUUUUAGUUGUGGUUUUGGAAUAGAUAUUGUGACUAACAUUUUUUCUAAGCUUUGGCAAAUGAUGAAGUUACAGUUCUGAUGCCCUAACUGUAAACAGCAACUUAGUGGAUUGCAGAGAAUUAAUUUUACAUGUCUAUUUCCCUUUUUGGUUGAUAAGCCUUAAUUAUUAUUCAUAUAAA